AUUGAACGCUGGCGGCAGGCCUAACACAUGCAAGUCGAGCGGAGCGGCGGACGGGUGAGUAAUGCCUAGGAAUCUGCCUGGUAGUGGGGGAUAACGUCCGGAAACGGGCGCUAAUACCGCAUACUAUCAGAUGAGACUAUGUCGGAUUAGCUAGUUGGUGGGGUAAAGGCCUCCCAAGGCCACGAUCCGUAACUGGUCUGAGAGGAUGUUCAGUAACCCUGGAACUGAGACCCGUUCCAUACUCCUACGGUAGGCAGCAGUGGGGAAUAUUGUACAAUGGUCGAAAGCCUGAUCCAGCCAUGCCGCGUGUGGGAAGAAGGCCUUCGGAUUGUAAAGCACUUUUAUUUGGGAUGCGUUACCAACAGAAUAAGCACCGGCUAACUUCGUGCCAGCAGCCGCGGUAAUAC
rnacentral:rRNA from 1 species